UACAGUUUGAGUGGCAUGAUGGGACAGUGAAGAAUCUUUCAUCAGUGCAAAAGUACCAGGGUGCAGGUUCUUCUGGACAUGUCUGGGAUGAACGCCCUCCACCUGCUCCAUCUCCAGCACGCGCUGCGAAUACUACUGCAGGAGCAGCUGGCCAACAAACACAGCUUCAAUGUCAUCCUGUAGGUCAAACACACCGCCGGGGUGUUUUCACUCAUUUAUAAUGUGACAGAUUAUGAUCUGCUUUGUCAUUUAGUCCUAAAGUCUCCUGUCUCUUUCGCUCUUGAAGAUUUUCCUCUAUAUAUACCAGCCAAAAGUUUGCACACACUUGCCUAAAAAGCUUUCAGUCUAAUACUUUAUGCUUAAUUACUUUAAGUUGUGCAAUUGUCUAUAUAAAUAUAAAAUGUGAUUUGUAAUUUACAGCUUUCGAAACGAAAAUGUACAGUUUUCUAUAAGAUUAGUUCACCCAAAAGUGAAUAUUCUGUUGUCAUUUACUAAUGUCUUCCAAACACAAAUUAAGAUACUUUUAAUAAAACCUGAGAGUUUUCUGUUCCUCCAUUGAAAAUCCAUUCCACCAAAACUUUCAAGCUUCAAAAGGUUCAUACAGACAUCAUAAAAGUAAUGCAUAUUUCAUUCCCAACAUUUCAUUCCCAUACAUCCAUUUGUUUUGUUUUUUCAUAAAGUUUUCAU
rnacentral:lncRNA from 12 species